CGUCUUAAGCAUGCAAGUCAAACGGGAUGUAGCAAUACAUUCAGUGGCGAACGGGUGAGUAACGCGUGGAUGAUCUACCUAUGAGAUGGGGAUAACUAUUAGAAAUAGUAGCUAAUACCGAAUAAAGUCAGUUAAUUUGUUAAUUGAUGAAAGGAAGCCUUUAAAGCUUCGCUUGUAGAUGAGUCUGCGUCUUAUUAGCUAGUUGGUAGGGUAAAUGCCUACCAAGGCGAUGAUAAGUAACCGGCCUGAGAGGGUGAACGGUCACACUGGAACUGAGAUACGGUCCAGACUCCUACGGGAGGCAGCAGCUAAGAAUCUUCCGCAAUGGGCGAAAGCCUGACGGAGCGACACUGCGUGAAUGAAGAAGGUCGAAAGAUUGUAAAAUUCUUUUAUAAAUGAGGAAUAAGCUUUGUAGGAAAUGACAAAGUGAUGACG
rnacentral:rRNA from 1 species